rnacentral:rRNA from 1 species
UACGGAGGGUGCGAGCGUUGUCCGGAAUCAUUGGGCGUAAAGGGCGCGUAGGUGGCCCGGUCAGUCUUUGGUGAAAGCGCGGGGCUCAACCCUGCGUCGGCCAGGGAUACUGCCGCGGCUCGAGCACUGUAGAGGCAGGCGGAAUUCCGGGUGUAGCGGUGGAAUGCGUAGAGAUCCGGAAGAACACCGGUGGCGAAGGCGGCUCUCUAGUACGGUACUGACGCUGAGACGCGAAAGCGUGGGGAGCGAACAGG